rnacentral:Y_RNA from 1 species
GGUUGGUCCAAGUACAGUGAUGUUUACAAUUAAUCGAGCACGACCAGUUAACAGAUUGCUUUGUUCCUUCUCCACUCCCACUGCUUCACUUGACCAGCCUUUA